rnacentral:rRNA from 1 species
GACAGAGGAUGCAAGCGUUAUCCGGAAUCACUGGGCGUAAAGCGUCUGUAGGUGGUUCAAUAAGUCAACUGUUAAAUCUUGAGGCUCAACUUCAAAAUCGCAGUCGAAAACUAUUGGACUCGAGUAUAGUAGGGGUAAAGGGAAUUUCCAGUGGAGCGGUGAAAUGCGUAGAGAUCGGAAAGAACACCAACGGCGAAAGCACUCUGCUGGGGCCGACACUGACAUUAAGAGACGAAGCUAGGGGGAGC